rnacentral:misc_RNA from 1 species
GGAAAUAGUACCCAACAUCACCAUUGUCAAGCUGCUUCAGUGAAACCAAGUGGGACCUACCAACAACACCAGUAUACUGAAUGGGUCCUGUCUGUUUCCACCUGAAUGUUUGGCCUGUUGGGAAGGUGAGAGGCAAGUAAAGUUCUGAUCUUGAUAAGUUUAGGGGUACCCAUUUGGGAUCUUCUUCUGGGAUUGGAUUUGUGAGAAUAUUUCUUGGUUUUUUGGAAGAAAGGGUUCUCAAAGAUGUGGUUUUGGAAGGGAGAGAUUGUGGAGAUGGUGGAGUUGAUGGGGUUGAAGCCAUGAUUGUUGGUUUCUUCAUGAUCGACAGAGUUCUUACUGAU